GCUUAUAACAAUGAUUGACAGGGAGCUAAGAUGGAGGCGGCUCUCUCUAUACUGACUGCCAGGUGCAAAGGGCGGAGCUUAUAACAAUGAUUGACAGGGAGCUAAGAUGGAGGUGGCUCUCUCUAUACUGACUGCCAGGUGUAAAGGGUGGAGCUUAUAACAAUGAUUGACAGGGAGCUAAGAUGGAGGCGGCUCUCUCUAUACUGACUGCCAGGUGUAAAGGGUGGAGCUUAUAACAAUGAUUGACAGGGAGCUAAGAUGGAGGUGGCUCUCUCUAUGCUGACUGCCAGGUGUAAAGGGCGGAGCUUAUAACAAUGAUUGACAAGGAGCUAAAAUGGAGGUGGCUCUCUCUAUACUGACUGCCAGGUGUAAAGGGCGGAGCUUAUAACAAUGAUUGACAGGGAGCUAAGAUGGAGGCGGCUCUCUCUAUACUGACUGCCAGGUGUAAAGGGCGGAGCUUAUAACAAUGAUUGACAGGGAGCUAAGAUGGAGGUGGCUCUCUCUAUACUGACUGCCAGGUGUAAAGGGCGGAGCUUAUAACAAUGAUUGACAGGGAGCUAAGAUGGAGGUGGCUCUCUCUAUGCUGACUGCCAGGUGUAAUGGGUGGAGCUUAUAACAAUGAUUGACAGGGAGCUAAGAUGGAGGUGGCUCUCUCUAUACUGACUGCCAGGUGUAAAGGGCGGAGCUUAUAACAAUGAUUGACAGGGAGCUAAGAUGGAGGCGGCUCUCUCUGUGCUGACUGCCAGGUGUAAAGGGCGGAGCUUAUAACAAUGAUUGACAGGGAGCUAAGAUGGAGGUGGCUCUCUCUAUACUGACUGCCAGGUGUAAAGGGCGGAGCUUAUAGCAAUGAUUGACAGGGAGCUAAGAUGGAGGUGGCUUUCUCUAUACUGACUGCCAGGUGUAAAGGGCGGAGCUUAUAACAAUGAUUGACAGGGAGCUAAGAUGGAGGCGGCUCUCUCUAUACUGACUGCCAGGUGUAAAGGGCGGAGAUUAUAACAAUGAUUGACAGGGAGCUAAGAUGGAGGCGGCUCUCUCUAUGCUGACUGCCAGGUGUAAAGGGCGGAGCUUAUAACAAUGAUUGACAGGAGCUAAGAUGGAGGUGGCUCUCUCUAUGCUGACUGCCAGGUGUAAAGGGCGGAGCUUAUAACAAUGAUUGACAGGGAGCUAAGAUGGGCUCUCUCUGCUGCUGACUGCCAGGUGUAAUGAAGACUUAUAACAAUGAUUGACAGGGGCUAGAUGGGCGGCUCUCUCUAUACUGAUUGCCGGAAUAUUAGGUGAGACUUAUAACGAUGAUUGACAGGGAGCUAAGAUGGAGGCGGCUCUCUCUAUACUGACUGCCACGUGUAAAAGGCGGAGCUUAUAACAAUGACCGACAGGAGCUAAGAUGGAGGCGGCUCUCUCUAUACUGACUGCCAGGUGUAAAGGGCGGAGCUUAUAACAAUGAUUGACAGGGAGCUAAGAUGGAAGCGGCUCUCUCUAUACUGACUGCCAGGUGUAAAGGGCGGAGCUUAUAACAAUGAUUGACAGGGAGCUAAGAUGGAGGCGGCUCUCUCUAUACUGACUGCCAGGUGUAAAGGGCGGAGCUUAUAACAAUGAUUGACAGGGAGCUAAGAUGGAGGCGGCUCUCUCUAUACUGACUGCCAGGUGUAAUGGGCGGAGCUUAUAACAGUGAUUGACAGGGAGCUAAGAUGGAGGCGGCUCUCUCUAUACUGACUGCCAGGUGUAAAGGGCGGAGCUUAUAACAAUGAUUGACAGGGAGCUAAGAUGGAGGCGGCUCUCUCUAUACUGAUUGCCAGGUGUAAAAGGCGGAGCUUAUAACAAUGAUUGACAGGGAGGUAAGAUGGAGGCGGCUCUCUCUAUACUGAUUGCCAGGUGUAAAGGGCGGGGCUUAUAACAAUGACUGACAGGGAGCUAAGAUGGAGGUGGCUCUCUCUAUACUGACUGCCAGGUGUAAAGGGCGGAGCUUAUAACAAUGAUUGACAGGGAGCUAAGAUGGAGGUGGCUCUCUCUAUACUGACUGCCAGGUGUAAUGGGCGGAGCUUAUAACAAUGAUUGACAGGGAGCUAAGAUGGAGGCGGCUCUCUCUAUGCUGACUGCCAGGUGUAAUGGGCGGAGCUUAUAACAAUGAUUGACAGGGAGCUAAGAUGGAGGCGGCUCUCUCUAUGCUGACUGCCAGGUGUAAAGGGCGGGGCUUAUAACAAUGAUUGACAGGAAGCUAAGAUGGAGGCGGCUCUCUCUAUACUGACUGCCAGGUGCAAAGGGCGGGGCUUAUAACAAUGAUUGACAGGGAGCUAAGAUGGAGGCGGCUCUCUCUAUACUGACUGCCAGGUGUAAAGGGCGGAGCUUAUAACAAUGACUGACAGGGAGCUAAGAUGGAGGUAGCUCUCUCUAUACUGACUGCCAGGUGUAAAGGGCGGAGCUUAUAACAAUGAUUGACAGGGAGCUAAGAUGGAGGUGGCUCUCUCUCUAUACUGACUGCCAGGUGUAAAGGGCGGAGCUUAUAACAAUGAUUGACAGGGAGCUAAGAUGGAGGUGGCUCUCUCUAUACUGACUGCCAGGUGUAAUGGGCGGAGCUUAUAACAAUGAUUGACAGGGAGCUAAGAUGGAGGCGGCUCUCUCUAUACUGACUGCCAGGUGUAAAGGGCGGAGCUUAUAACAAUGAUUGACAGGGAGCUAAGAUGGAGGCUGCUCUCUCUAUACUGACUGCCAGGUGUAAAGGGCGGAGCUUAUAACAAUGAUUGACAGGGAGCUAAGAUG